CCUACGGGAGGCAGCAGUGAGGAAUAUUGGUCAAUGGACGAGAGUCUGAACCAGCCAAGUAGCGUGAAGGAUGACUGCCCUAUGGGUUGUAAACUUCUUUUAUAUGGGAAUAAAACGUUCCACGUGUGGGAUUUUGUAUGUACCAUAUGAAUAAGGAUCGGCUAACUCCGUGCCAGCAGCCGCGGUAAUACGGAGGAUCCGAGCGUUAUCCGGAUUUAUUGGGUUUAAAGGGAGCGUAGGUGGAUUGUUAAGUCAGUUGUGAAAGUUUGCGGCUCAACCGUAAAAUUGCAGUUGAAACUGGCAGUCUUGAGUACAGUAGAGGUGGGCGGAAUUCGUGGUGUAGCGGUGAAAUGCUUAGAUAUCACGAAGAACUCCGAUUGCGAAGGCAGUUCACUGGACUGCAACUGACACUGAGGCUCGAAAGUGUGGGUAUCAAACAUGAUUAGAUACCCGUGUAGUC
rnacentral:rRNA from 1 species